rnacentral:rRNA from 1 species
CUAGCAUAUCAAUAAGCGGAGGAAAAGAAACUAACAAGGAUCCCCUAGUAACUGCGAGUGAAGCGGGAAAAGCUCAAAUUUAAAAUCUGGCGGUCUCUGGCCGUCCGAGUUGUAAUCUAGAGAAGUAAUGCCCGUGCUGGACCGUGUAUAAGUCUCCUGGGAUGGGGCGUCAUAGAGGGUGAGAAUCCCGUCUUUGACACGGACUACCAGUGCAUUGUGGUAUGCUCUCAAAGAGUCGAGUUGUUUGGGAAUGCAGCUCAAAAUGGGUGGUAAAUUCCAUCUAAAGCUAAAUAUUGGCGAGAGACCGAUAGCGAACAAGUACCGUGAGGGAAAGAUGAAAAGAACUUUGGAAAGAGAGUUAAACAGUACGUGAAAUUGCUGAAAGGGAAACGCUUGAAGUCAGUCGCGUUGGCCGGGGAUCAGCCUUGCUUUUGCAUGGUGUACUUUCUGGUUGACGGGUCAGCAUCAAUUUUGACCGCUGGAAAAAGACCUGGGGAAUGUGGCAGCUUCGGCUGUGUUAUAGCCCCUAGUCGCAUACAGUGGUUGGGAUUGAGGAACUCAGCACGCCGCAAGGCCGGGUUUCGACCACGUUCGUGCUUAGGAUGCUGGCAUAAUGGCUUUAAGCGACCCGUCUUGAAACACGGACCAAGGAGUCUAACAUGCCUGCGAGUAUUUGGGUGGAAAACCCAAGUGCGUAAUGAAAGUGAAAGUUGAGAUCCCUGUCGUGGGGAGCAUCGACGCCCGGACCAGAACUUUUGGGACGGAUCCGCGGUGGAGCAUGUAUGUUGGGACCCGAAAGAUGGUGAACUAUGCCUGAAUAGGGUGAAGCCAGAGGAAACUCUGGUGGAGGCUCGUAGCGAUUCUGACGUGCAAAUCGAUCGUCAAAUUUGGGUAUAGGGGCGAAAGACUAAUCGAACCAUCUAGUAGCUGGUUCCUGCCGAGUUUUCCCU